GCUUUGGAAAGGUGCCAGUUUUGGUGUUGGGGGGUUCGGCAUAGCCCACCACACUCUCAUUCACCUCGUCUCGCCUCGCACACCUCACUGAUCGAUUGGAGUGUAACCUUCACUGUUGCAGUGUUUAUGCAUUUGACGCAAUUGGGUGCAAGCUUGGGUCCAUUGUUCAGGCGAACAGCCUACGUUGUCGAGCCGAGCUAGUGUGGUGUUUCCUUGCACAUGAGCAAUAUAUGCGUAUAUGUCCCAGUUAAGCGAAGAUCUUUCACGACGCAUUCACAUCUGGAAAGCCUAAUACCGUGGGACUGAAGCUGAUGCUGUUUGUUUUAGCGUUUCUGCUGUGUGGGAUGAAUGCAUAGCUGAGUGAGGAUCCUGCUUUCGGCGCUCUCACAACCUGCAUUAUUUUGGGGCGACUUCCUGAUUUACAGCGGGGAGUUAUGGCUUCGUCGUAGAUUGUAGCGUUAAGAAAGAAGCAUAAACGGGCUGUAGAUUGCAGCUGCAGAGUGAUGAUCAAAGAUUCCAUGCUUCUCUUACGCCACACUGGCAAUGCUGGGGGUUUCAGAAUUCGAGCAUGCGUGGGACAACGUAAUGCUGUCCACACAGCGUUCUCGCCUUUGCUGGCUUGGCUUGAGUCACGAGGAGAAACCGAAGCACUGACAUCUCUUACCAUCGGCAAUACCAAUCAAGGAAGGGCGCUCCUUUCUAUACGUCACAUUAAGCGUGGCGAGCAGGUGCUGCGCGUUUCUAGAGAACUUGGCUUUCUUAUGCAGAUGAUAACGCCUAAUAGAUUACCUUCGUGUGUGGAAGAGAGCCUCUCAGAAGACGUGAACGAAUGGAGCCGCCUUGCCCUAUUCCAACUCCUGCAUAAGCAUGCUGGCAAGGCAUCGCCUUGGGAGCCAUACAUCAGAUGUUUACCUCCUCUGCGGGGUCUUCAAAAUACCGUGUUUUGGAGGGACGAGGAACUGGAAUUGUUGCGUCAAAGUAAUGUGUACGACCAAACAGAGCAUCGGAAGACACUAAUUUCAAACCAAUUUGACCUCGUUCAAGCAGUUGUGAACAAGUAUCCAGAAUUAUUUGGAGAGACGGUGACGCUGGAGUCAUUCAAGCAUGCGUACUGCGUAGCGAGUUCACGAUCAUGGGGAGUUGAGGCACUCGGUUCAAUAACAAUGGUACCAUUCGUGGACAUGUUCAACCAUGAUUCCAGCGCUCGCGCUCUGUUGGCGUAUUACGAGGAGGAAGGGUAUGCUGAGGUUGUAGCAGAUAAGGAUUACAACCAAGGCUCUCAGGUGGUCAUCACAUAUGGAACUUUACCAAAUUCCUCUUUGGCUCUGGAUUUUGGGUUUACGCUCCCAGACAACCCACAUGACGAGGUUCAAAUCUGGAUGGAGGCGCCGAGCGGAGAUCCUUUGCGAGCCGAAAAGCUGAAGCUUUUGCGUGAUCAUGGCAUUGCAACCGACCCGUUUUGUGAUGGCACGGAGAGUGGUGGUGCUUGGUUUGGUCUUAGAGAAAUAUCGUCUCCUGCAGCUAGAGGUAAAGGUAUCCCUCGUGCAUUACGCACGUUUGUUCGAGUGAUCUCCGCAAGCACUACAAAAGUGUUACAGAACUGGAGGCUAUGGCUGAAGAUGCAAAGAGAAGACAAGGUCGAUUAGCUCAAAGGCCCCUGAAGGACGGCAAGGAAGCACGAGCUCUGAAAUUACUUCUAGACAACAUCGAGCAGUGCGUCUCGUCUCAUCGCUCCGCUCUCAAGAAAGUGUUGAAGGCACAAGACUUACCACAAAUCCAAGCUGAACGCGCGCGGAUGGCAGGACAUGUGCUUGAUGGAGAGCUCCGAGUGCUGCGCUCUGUGGGCGCAUGGUUGCGGCCUCGAGCUGAGGGAGGAGGCUAUGAAUCACUGGGUCUAGCAUGAAAGAGGAACCCAUAGUGUAUUGUUUGCUUAAGAAACACUCCCACUGCAGCACCAUGACAGCAACAGAGGAGGUGCCCUUGAUACUGCUCCCCUUCUAUAUUCUUAUAAAAAGCCCCACUUUGCUGAGCUUCAUGAAUGCCUCACUUUGCAAAAC